ACAUAACAAUACCAAACUAGCAGAACUUACAAGGACAUGUAUAUCAGGAAGAGAUUAUCAGAUCUGCAACUCAAAAUCUUGUAGUCAACAUUCACAACUUCCUGACGUGUUCUUUGAGAGUGUCGUAAAGAGUCUCCACAAGAUUGAGCAGGAACCCGUCCGAGCCAUGCUUUGCCAGCAAGGAAACUGAAACAGGUAGGUUAUCGUACAUCCCUAGAGGUAUACUCACCUGCAAAUACGUAGAAAUAAGUUACAAACUUUCGCAAGAUACUUGCAGUCAAUGACGAAGAAGAAGAUCGUAAUGUGUCGUAUACAAACAUGGAGAGGGGGAGGGAGAGGUAGAGAUAGAUAGAGGGAUUAAAAACCUGGCAGAAUCCGGAAACCACGGCAAUGGAUAGGAAGCUGUAAGCCUGGCACUAAAAGCGUCCAAUAUAGUAGGAUCUGUUUGCAGCUUUGGUGGAUCCCCUGGAACUGUAGGCAUUGCGAGGAGACCGAAAUCCUGAUGAGCAAUUCAAAGAGAUUGUGUUACGUAUUCAUUAGAGACAGUAUUUCUUCUGCUAAAAGUUUCGUUUUAAGAGCAAAAGGAAGGAAGAUGCUAAAAAAUAACAGUUUGUCAGUCUCUCUACUCUAACAAAACGAACUCGUUAGAUAUGAAGUGACGGAUUCCUAAAAUGAACUUUGGCGUGUGCAAAGAUGAGAGAGAGAGAGAGAGAGAGAGAGAGAGAGAGAGAGAGAGAGAGAGAGAGAGAGAGAGAGAGAGAGUACCCCGAGAAGGUCAGUAAGAGCAGCACGCAAUUCAGUCAUCACGGAGUGACAAACAUCGACAUUUUCAUCUGUUGACCGAACGGCUGCCCAUAUACGUUCUCCUAUCCCGGGACCUAAGUCAGGUCUGACUGUACUAACCCAUUCACCAUGGUUGCUCUUGAAUUCAUACCUAUUCUAUCAACCAAAUAAUAAAUUUGGAAUUCAUUAUGAACGACAAAUUUAAAUUUUGUUAAUCAAGGUGAAGAUGCAGAAAUUAUCACACUCAUAUUCAAGUCCACCAAAUCAGCACCUUACGAGAAGAUGAAAGGCGGUUGAUAGGGCUGCCAAUGACGGUAUAAUGUACUCUUCACUUGGAUUUCCUUUAUCCAAGAAAGAGUUCAAGCUUGGAACUUUGUCCUUGACAACAUCCCCGAGGUUAGCAUGUUUUAUAACUUGACCUGCAUUUGCAGAUAUAACGAGUGAGCGUCUUCUUUCCAUGUUAUGAGCUUGUCCCUAUCUCAGCAGGAGACCCAAUUUAAUAAGUGAAUAAUUUUCGGUUAAUAAUCUGUCUAUUGAACAUAAUGGCCAAUUUGUGUCUUAAAAUGCGGGGGAAUUAUAAAUUGGACUCGAUUCAUGUCAAUCAAAAUACUUACAGCGAGAGAUGAAACAGAUGAAUACGGUCAAAUCACUUACCCCCAAAUAACUUCUCAACUGAGUCAACAAGUACUUGUUUCACUCGACUGCUUGGAACACUUGAAAUCUGGAAACAGUCUUCUGCGAUGAUUAACUGAGUGGGUACGACAGGACCCGUAUCAGGCAAUUGGAGUAACACUCGUCCAAGUCUAUUCAAAAUUGCAGGAUUCCUUGCAAACCAUCCUAUAUCAGAAGUUAGUGUCAAAAGGAUAGUUUCCGAUUGCUUAGAGUGCUAGAUAGAUCAUUCGCAUAGGUAAAGCUUUCGAAGUACUAUAUUUCCAAUUGCAGAAAAAUUUAAACAAAGAAGUGUCACAAGUAAUAAUCAACAAAAAUGCAGAAUGCAUGGAUGGCAUAUGAAUCAUUAAAGCGGAAGAAGUUAGCUACUUUCUAGAAACAGAAAUAGAGAUUUCCUGUUAUAUAAAAUCAAGGGAAAACCAAAACAUGACUUUUUUUUGUCACAACCAGAAAUCUAUUUCCUAAGCCAGUCUGCAAUAUAAAAUGUCAUUGAUUUCUCACCCACUGUAUCGAAACUUUGUGCCAGAGGAGUAACUCCAGAAGUAGAAAUGACGCCAUGAGAUGGCCGAAACCCAAAAAUUCCACAAUAUGAAGCAGGAACUCUUACACUUCCUCCAGUAUCGGUUCCUGAAAAAGUGAGGGCCUUGUGCUUCAACUUAAAGAAGCAAGAAAACAACAAAAGCACACAAGGAAUAACUUACCUAAGGAAAAAUCUGCGAGGCCUGCAGCUACGACAACAGCAGAACCGCUAGAAGAGCCUCCAGGCACCCUAUCUGGUGCGCACGGAUUUCUGGGUGUGCCAUAAUGCUUGUUCUCUCCAUUCAUACUGCCAACAACACAAUGCAAAAUUCAAGGGCGUUUUCUGUUGAGUGAUUUUCGAAUGUCCAAAAUCAUUAUAUAAAUACUUUUACCACGAAAAUAGACUUGUAGGGAUCAAUCAUUUGUCAAAAUUUUUUGCAAACAAAACAGUAAUGCAAGUUUAAGCAUGUGAAGUAAGACAAGGCCUCUUUGCACUAACCAGUAAGCCAUUUCAUCCAUGACAGUUAUACCAAUACUUGUGGCACCUCCACUCAAUAUUGCCGAAACAGCCGGAGCUGUUGAUUCAGCAGCCGGGUGAGUCCUCGCCCAAUCAGGAUUCCCAAACCCAGUCACACGUCCAGCCACAUCAAAUCUGCCUCCAAGUUCAAAUUUUAGUGAAUACAAAAAUGUUUUGGCUUUUACACACACACACACACAAGAAAAAAAAAAUUGCACAAUUCAACACCCUGAAGUUCAUCAUCAUGGUUCCACAAGCACGCAUAAAACCACACAAAGCAGGAAGAUUUAUUAAAACGCUUCUCUGAAAAAGCACUUCUCAUCAUAAGUGCUUUUGUUGGAAGUAUUUUAACUUUAGUAGAAGCAAAUCCACCACAAAGUUUCAUUAAAAAUUCAAGUGCUUCAGGUAAAAAUAAAAAAUAAAAAAACUUUUGAACUUUUUUCUUUCUUUCUGAAAGUGCUUUUAGUCAUUCUCAAAUGAAGAAACGCCCAAUCACAGAAACAACCCACAAAAUUGGGUUGUUGUUGGAGAAAACUGCUUGAAUUCAAAUCCGAAAUUCGCAAGCAUCCACCAAAUAGAAGAGUGAUAUAAAUGAGGAAAAUUUAAGAGAGUAGCUCUCACAUGUCUUUAACAGCAAAGGUGAGGCUGCUCAGAGGAAGGUCAUGUGACGAAGACGGCGGCCGAAGAAGGAAUUUCUCCACGAAAGCUCCAUGUUCUGAGUCUAUCGCCAUCCCUCUCUGCCACUGCUGUCUCAGACAAUCUCAGCCUCAGCAGCAGCUCCACAUUUUGAUGACAGAAGUGAACAGCUCUCCACUCAUCAAUCAUGCGAUGAUCACUUCAGCCAGUGAGGACAAAUAUUAUUCCUUAAAAAAAAUCUGUGUUGAUAAGGCGGUCACUUCAGCCAGUGAGGACAAACUGGAAAUUCUGGAGGUUGCUUAAGUCCUCACUGUGGUCGUUAGACAUUGAGAAUCGAUAAAGUGGUACUUAAAAGCAGGAAAAACAACUUACCAUAAAAUCUGAAACAUCAAAUGUGUUUAAAAGGUCGUACCCAGUGCACAAGGCUCCCGCUUUACGCAGGGUUUGGGAGAGGUGAAUGUCGGCUAGCCUUACCCCCAUUUAUGGAGAGGCUGCUCUCAAGUCUCGAACCCGAGACCUACCGCUCAUGGGCGAAGGCACUUGCCAUCGCACCAAGUGCGACCUCAAAUGUGUUUGGUAAAAAAAAAAAAAGCUUAUUUAAAAAAUUGUUGUCAAUGACAACAAAAAAGCAUAGAAAAGCAGAAGUAGGAUCUACUAUGCUUUAAAAUUAUCUAAGCAUAGUGAACAGUGGCCAUUUGAUGAAAUUUUCAAAUAGCAAGUAUACCCCUGCCUUUUUUACAAAAUAACAAUCGUUGCCCGUGGAAUAUUAUCUUUGACAACUAUUAUAGGGAAUUAUUAUUAGCAUUCCAAAAGUCUCAUUUGACAUUCCAAACUUUCUAUAAUUAGAAAGAAAAAAAACACUUGUGAGGAGUGUAGAAUGAGAUUUUUGGAAUGCUAAUAACAGUUCCGUUAUUAUAUCACAUUAAAUGCCAUAUCAUUUUUAGUAUUUAACAUAUUCACAUUAAUUUUAUAUAAAAGUUGACAUAACACUCAGAUACUGUUUUCUUUUUUUUUACAAGCACUUUUACAAUAAAAGUUUAUUAAACGCUUAACAACUUUAUUUUACAGCUGUUCUGCUGUUUUUUUUUUUUUUUUUAACAUAACAAUACCAAACUAGCAAAACUUACAAGCACAUAUAUCAGGAAAAGAUUAUCAGAGUCUGCAACUCAAAAUCUUGUAGUCAACAUUCACAACUUCCCGACGUGUUCUUUGAGAGUGUCGUAAAGAGUCUCGACAAGAUUGAGCAGGAACCCGUCCGAGCCAUGCUUUGCCAGCAAGGAAACUGAAACGGGUAGGUUAUCGUACAUCCCUAGUGGUAUAGUCACCUGCAAAUACGUAGAAAUACGUUACAAACUUUCACAAGAUAUUUGCAGUCAUUGAAGAAGAAAAAGAUCGUAGUCAUAUACAAACAUGGAGACUGGAGAGGGGGAGGGAGAAGUAGAGAUAGAUAGAGGGCUUAAAAACCUGGCAGAAUCCGGAAACUACGGCAAUGGAUAGGAAGCUGAAAGCCCUGGCACGAAAAUUGUGCAGUGUUGUAGGAUCUGUUUGCAGCUUUGGUGGAUCCCCUGGAACUGUAGGCAUUGCGAGGACACCGAAAUCCUGAUGAGUAAAUCAAAGAGAUUGUGUUAUGUAUUCAUUAGAGACGGUAUGUAUCAUCCAUUUCUUCUGCUAAAGGUACCUUUUUAAGAGCAAAAGGAAGGAAGAUGCUAACAAAUAACAGUUUGUCAAAGAUGAGAGAGAGAGAGAGAGAGAGAGAGAGUACCCCGAGAAGGUCAGUAAGAGCAGCACGCAAUUCAGUCAUCACGGAGUGACAAACAUCGACAUUUUCAUCUGUUGACCGAACAGCUGCCCAUAUACGUUCUCCUAUCCCGGGACCUAAGUCAGGUCUGACUGUACUAACCCAUUCACCAUGGUUGCUCUUGAAUUCAUACCUAUUCUAUCAACCAAAUGAUAAAUUUGGAAUUCAUUAUGAACGACAAAUUUGAAUUUUGUUGAUCAAGAUGAAGAUGCAGAAAUUAUCACACUCAUAUUCAAGUCGACCAAAUCAGCACCUUUCAAGUAGACGAUCGGCGGUUGAUAGGGCUGCCAAUGACGGUAUAAUGUACUCUUCACUUGGAUUUCCUUUAUCCAAGAAAGAGUUCAAGCUUGGAACUUUGUCCUUGACAACGUCCCCAAGGUUAGCAUGUUUUAUAACAUGACCUGCAUUUGCAGAUAUAACGAGUGAGCUUCUUCUUUCCAUGUUAUGAACUUGUCCCUAUCUCAGCAGGAGACCUAAUUUAAUUAAGUGAAUGAUGAUUUUCAGGUAAUAAUCUGUCUACUGAAUUUAAUGGUCUAUUUGUGUCUUAAAAUGCGAGGGAAUUAUAAAUUGGACUCGAUUCAUGUCAAUCAAAGUACUUACAGCAAGAGAUGAAACAGAUGAAUAUGGUCAAAUCACUUACCCCCAAAUAACUUCUCAACUGAGUCAACAAGUACUUGUUUCACUCGACUGCUUGGAACACUUGAAAGCUGGAAACAGUCUUCUGCGAUGAUUAACUGAGUGGGUACGACAGGACCUGUAUCAGGCAAUUGGAGUAACACUCGUCCAACUCUAUUCAAAAUCGCAGGAUCCCUUGCAAACCAUCCUAUAUCAGAAGUUAGUGUCAAAAGGAUGGUUUCCAAUUGCUUAGAGUGCUAGAUAGAUCAUUCGCAUAGGUAAAGCUUUCGAAGUACUAUAUUUCCAAUUGCAGAAAAACUUAAACACAGAAGUGUCACAAGUAAUAAUCAACAAAAAUGCAGAAUGCCUGGAUGGCAUAUGAAUCAUUAAAGCGGAAGAAGUUAGCUACAUUCUAGCAACAGAAAUAGAGAUUUCCUGUUAUAUAAAAUCGAGGGAAAACUGAAACAUGACUUUUUUUGUCACAACCAGAAAUCAAUUUCCUAAGCCAGUCUGCAAUAUAAAAUGUCAUUGAUUUCUCACCCACUGUAUCGAAACUUUGUGCCAGGGGAGUAACUCCAGAGGUAGAAAUGACACCAUGAGAUGGCCGAAACCCAAAAACUCCACAAUAUGAAGCAGGAACUCUUAUACUUCCUCCAGUGUCGGUUCCUGAAAAAUUGAGGGUCUUGUGCUUCAACAUAAAGAAGCAAGAAAACAACAAAAGCACGCAUGGAAUAACCUACCUAAGGAAAAAUCUGCGAGGCCUACAGCUACGGCAACAGCAGAACCGCUAGAAGAGCCUCCAGGCACCCUAUCUGGUGCGCACGGAUUUCUGGGUGUGCCAUAAUGCUUGUUCUCUCCAUUUAUACUGCCAACAACACAAUGCUAAAUUCAAGAGCAUUUCUGUCGAGUGAUUUUCAAAUGUACAAAAUCAUGAUAUAAAUACUUUUACCAUGAAAAGAGACUUGUAGUGAUCAAUCAUUUGUGAAAAUUUUUGCAAACAAAACAGUAAUGCAAGUUUAAGCAUGUGAAGUAAGACAAGGCCUCUUUGCACUAACCAGUAUGCCAUUUCAUCCAUGACAGUUAUACCAAUACUUGUGGCACCUCCACUCAAUAUUGCUGAAACAGCCGGAGCUGUUGACUCAGCAGCCGGGUGAGUCCUCGCCCAAUCAGGAUUCCCAAACCCAGUCACACGUCCAGCCACAUCAAAUCUGCCUCCAAGUUCAAAUUUCAGUGAACACAAAAAUGUUUUGGCUUUUACACACACACAUGAAAAAAAUUGCACAAUUCAACACCCUGAAGUUCACCAUCAUGGUUCCACAAGCACACAUAAAACCACACAAAGCAUGAAGAUUUAUUAAAACGCUUCUCUGAAAAAGCACUUCUCAUCAUAAGUGCUUUUGCUGGAAGUAUUUUUACUUUAGUAGAAGUAAAUCCACCACAAAGUUUCAUUAAAAAUUCAAGUGCUUCAGAAAAAAAACAUUUGAACAUUUUUUCUGAAAGUGCUUUUAGUCAUUCUCAAAUGAAGAAACGCCCAAUCACAGAAACAACACACAAAAUUGGGUUCUUGGAGACAACUGAUUGAACCCAAAUCCGAAAUCAGCAAAUAAGCACAAAAGCAUAUGAAUUUUAAGUAUAACACUACAAAAUUUAAAGCAUCCACCAAAUAGAAGAGUGAUAUAAUUGAGGAAAAUUUAAGAGAGUAGCUCUCACAUGUCUUUAACAGCAAAGGUGAGGCCGCUCAGAGGAAGGUCAUGUGAUGAAGACGGCGGUCGGAGAAGGAAUUUCUCCACGAAAGCUCCAUGAUCUGAGUCUAUCGCCAUCUCUCUCUGCCACUGCUGUCUCAGACAAUCUCAGCCUCAGCAGCAGCUCCACAUUUGACGACAGAAGUGAAAAGCUCUCCACUCAUCAAUCAUACGAUGAUCGUAUUCAAAUGCAAGGACAAAUAUUAUUCCUUAAAAAAAUAUGUUGUUGAUAAGGUGGUAACUUCAGUCAGUGAGGGCAAAGUGGAAAUUCUGGAGGUAGCUUAAGUCCUCACUAUGGUCCUUAGACUUUGAGAAUUGAUACAAAUGGUCUUUAAAUUUCUCCACCGUAAAUUAUUUUGCUCUAAAAAAUUUGUCAAUAUCAUCGUUGAGUGGUUGGGUUGAUUAGACAAAAUAUCAAAGAAAGACAAUUCAAGGACCGCUUCUAUCGGUUUUCAUUAUCAUGAUCAAAGUGAGGGGUUUUGCCAAAGUCAUGAACUAUUUUGACUAAAACCCUAAAAAAAAAAGGGAAUUGUUAUUGGCUCUCCAAAAAUCUCAUUCUAUACUCCAACUUUCUAUAUUUGGAAAGAAAACUACACUUCUGAUGAGUGUAGAAUAAGAUUCUUGGAGUGUUAAUAACACUUCCCAAAAAAUAAAACAUAUUCUAUGAAAAUAUUGUGAAUUUCUUAGCUUAUGGAUCCAACGCAAGUACACAAUGUAUUAGGGUUUUUAUCACAAAUGAUCCCUGAGAUUGAUCAAACUCAUUAUUUUGAUCCCUCACUUUCAAAAUCAAUCAAUGUCGUCUCUAACCUUCACUACCAAAUAUCAAUUGGGUCAUUCCGUUAAGAUUUUGUUAACUAUUCUGUUAGUUUAUAUGCGGGGCCCACAAUUUCAAUGAAAUUGUGACAUGUAGAUUACACAAAAUAAGGAUUUUUAUCGCAAAUGGUCCCUAACAUUGAUCUAACUCCUCAUUUUGGUAUCUGAGUUUCAAAAAUUAAUAAAUUUGGUCAUUGACUUUCAAUACCGCAUGUUAAUUUAAUCAUUCCGUUAAAGUUUCGUCAAUAUUCUUUUUCCCACUAAUUCAAUCAUAUGACGUCACGUGAAUUAACUAUAAGAAAUUUUUUUUUAAAGAUUUAAAACUAAAAGUAAAAUAAGAGACUAAAAACCAAUACUAAAAGAAAGAAAAAAGUCAUCGUCAUCUUCAUCAGGUAUGCUAAAAAAGAAAAUAAAGGCACCAUGACACUAUUAAAGUUCUUGGCCUCCUAAACUUACUCUUCAUUAUCUCCAGUUGGUUAUAAUCCUAUCAACUUUAAAUUGAAUUUGGAUUCGAUUUUAUCAAAUUUAGAUUGAAUUUUUUUCAAUUGGGGUUGUGGGAUGUGAGAAAUAUCAACGCAGAAUACUCGUAUGUUGGUUCAAUCUUAAAAAAAAAAAAAAAUUCUUAUAGUUAAUCCACGUGGAGCCAUAUUGAUGAAAUUUUAAUGAAAUGACUAAAUUGAUGUGCGAUAGUGAAAGUCAGGGAUCAAAUUCAUAAAUUUUUGAAACUUAGGGACCAAAAUGAGGGGUUGGACCAAUGUCAGUGACCAUUUGCGAUAAAAACUUUAAUUUUGUGUAAUCCACAUGUCACUAUUUCACUAGAUUUGUGGGUUCCACUUACAAACUAACAUAAUAGUUGACGGAAUUUUAACGGAAUGACCAAAUUGAUGUGGGGUAGUGAAUAUCAUGGACGACAUUAAUUGAUUUUGAAAGUAAGUCUCACUUACAAACUAACAGAAUAGUUGAAGGAAUCUUAACGGAAUGACCAAAUUGAUGUAGGGUAGUGAAUGUCAUGGACGACAUUAAUUGAUUUUGAAAGUAAGCGACCAAAAUGAUGAAUUUGAUCAAUUUUAUGGACCAUUUGUGAUAAAAACUCCAUUGUAUUAUCAAUGGAAACAAAAUUUCAAGUGGCAGUUCCAUACAUAUGCAGGCGAACUUUCAUUCGCUGCGGUCGUAAUAAAAAAAUAUGUACAAAUAAGGGAUCACAGGUCUGUGCUCGGCGAGUUCCACCUCUGCUGGCUUUGUAGUUACUCCCGGAGCACUCCAACCUAAGCGUUGCAUGCACACAGCAUCGUAUGCUUCAAUUUUCAAACCCGAAGCAAGAAAUAGUUCCACCUCGUUUACAAACCGAUUGGUUCUUGCUGCCAGGAAAGGCCCUGCUGCAUCACAGGUUGAUUCUUGAAAUUCUCUUUGUUUUUCUUCAGGUGCCGUCGUUCGACCUUUUUGUUCAUCCCUUGAAAAUGCAUGGUUCAGGUAAAAGUUCAGACAAAGAGUUCAUUGAAAUUUUGCACGUUUUCAAGCACUUCAAUGUUGUUCUUUCUCAUAUCUUGUCCAAAAGAACUCUAAAGACGGGAACUAACUUUGGAACGUUAUUCGAUUUUUCAAUUGAAGAUCUAGGGAGUAACACAUAUCACCUCGUCAGGGAUGAAUUAAUCACGCCAUGUAUGUGGUGCAUGACGAUGUCAACAUCUUCCUCCUACAAGCAGCAACAGAAGCAAGUUAGCUAUAAAGAGUCACCCGAAUAACUAUAACAUGCAUGUUCUGCUUUGGUCGUCAUAGAUAAAGAAAGACCACACGCACAAUUUUAUGAUUAGCUAAUUGGACUAGGUGAUCCAGUUCAUUGCCAAGCCAAAGAAACAAAAAUGAAACUCUGUAAGAUGUUGAAAUGUCCCCGUGUCACCACGAAAGAAAAUUUAUGCAGAAGAAGCCAAGACCUGCAUCAGAGCUUGGAUUUCCCUUCUCCACCAACUUUGGAGCCAGCGGUUUGGCUGAAGAUACUUGCUGGACUUCCGAUACCGUGGUAUGUCAAAUAUGUCACUUAAGAAAACUAAUUAAGAAACAAAGUUAACCAACUGGAAGGCAUGUAAACAGUGACGUCGUUUCUCAGGGAUAUAAAAUGAGAAACAACACAACCAAUAAAAUGACAAGAAGCACAAAACCUGGUUCAGUGUAAUAACACUGCAAUCUAUGCUUGUGCUCCUUUGAUAAGAAAAAGCUGCAGAUACCAUUAACAAAAAACGAUUUACAAAGAGGGUUACAUAUUUUCGAAAACGAUUUACAAAACUUUAUUUUUCAGGCCUAUCCACCCUUGUUUUUCUCCCCUCCAGGAAUUUUAGUGGCAGAGGUUUUGUGACGACGAGGAUUGUUGGUAAAAGCUGUUAUGUAGGAGACUUCUCCUUUCAGUAUAAAUGUCAUUACUCUUCUUUUAUUGUAAUUUAUUUAUGCUCUGACAUCAUUUGUGUGAAAUGGGUUCAAUCCCGCUCAUAUGCGCAGUCUAAAUUAGUUACUUUUAGGUUUUAAUUUAUUCACAAUUUUCACUUCACUACAUUUUAUGGCUUCGUCACCUCUGAGUGUCGGCUAGUACAUCACGAUUUGGGUGUCUGCGUGGACAUUCCGAGUCGGAAUGUGUCAAAAAUGUACCAUAUAAAGGCUACCAAUUUUUUGUAUGUAAAAUAUCAUUAAUAUAAGUAAUGACAAAUCAUGGGUUUUAUUUAAAUAGUUUAUUUUAAUGACAAAUCAUGUCAUUAAGAUAAAUUAUACUUUUUUAUAUAAGUAUAAUUUAUUUUUUUAUAUUUUCAAUCCCACAAAUCAUGAAUUUUAUCUAAAAUCUCAUUAAUACAAGUAACUAAAAAUAUCAAAAUAUCAAAUUUUAAUUUGAAAUUAUAAUAACCUACAUAGAAAUUUAUUAUUGUAUUAAUUUCAGGAACUUCAAUAAAAAACUGAAAACCAACAAGGUUUCAAUUGGAUUAAAAUUGAGGGACCAUUGAUACAAUUUUUCUUAUUUGAUUUUUCAUAUUUGCCCCUUAAUUUGGCCUCAUGUGCAUAGCAUGUGACUUAUUUUGGCAUAAGUUCUAAUGUAGUUGACAAAAAAAAAAAAUCAUAUCUGCACGUUUUGAUGAGUUUAGAGACCAAUGUUAAUGAAUUUUUAGUUGAUGGAUCGUUGCUCCUAUUAAGUUAAAGUUGAGAAAUUAUUGCUACAAUUUCCUCUACAAUUAAAGCUAAUAUAUAAGCUUGAUAGCUUGCUCAUGGACCAUACACAAGGAUAAAACGAGGAAAAUUCCUAUCUAUUUUAAACCUUAUGACUGAUUUGGGAUUGUGGUUCUUUUAUAAAAAACAGCUUAUGAAAAAAUCUGGAACAUCAAAUGUAUUUGGUACCAAAAAAAAAAGUGCUUAUUUAAAAAAUUGUUGUCAAUGACAACAGAAAAGUAAAGAAAAGCAGAAGCAGGGUCUACUAUGUUUCUAAAAAUUUCUAAGCAUGGUGAACAGUGAGAAUUUAAUGAAAUUUUCAAAUGGCAACUGCAUAUUUUACAAAAUAACAAUCGUUGUCCGUGCAAUAUUCUCUUUGGCAAUUAUUAUAUCACAUUAAAUGUCAUAUCAUUUUUAGUAUUUAACAAAUUCACAUCAAUUAUAUAUAUAAAAGUUUACAAAACACUCAGAUACUGUUUUAUUUUUUUACAAGCACUUUUACAAUAAAAGUUUAUCAAACGCUCAACAACUUUAUUUUACAACUGUUUAUUCUCAAAAUACUGCAGAAACAAUUUAAAAAAAAAAAAAAACAAAACAUAACAACACCAAACUAGCAGAACUUACAAGCACAUGUAUUAGGAAAAGAUUAUCAGAAUCUGCAACUCAAAAUCUUGUAGUCAACAUUCACAACUUCCCGGCGUGUUCUUUGAGAGUGCCGUAAAGAGUCUCCACAAGAUUGAGCAGGAAUCCAUCCGAGCCAUGCUUUGCCAGCAAGGAAACUGAAACAGGUAGGUUAUCGCACAUCCCUAGUGGUAUACUCACCUG
rnacentral:lncRNA from 1 species